ACUCAAAGGAAUUGACGGGGACCCGCACAAGCGGUGGAGCGUGUUGUUUAAUUCGAUGCAAAGCGAAGAACCUUACCAGGGUUUGACAUCCUGCCAAUUUAUCCGAAAGGAUAAAGUGCCUUCGGGCCGCAGUGACAGGUGAUGCAUGGCCGUCGUCAGCUCGUGUCGUGAGAUGUUUGGUUAAGUCCAUUAACGAGCGCAACCCUUGUGUCCAGUUGUAUUUCUCUGGACAGACUGCCCCGGUAACGGGGAGGAAGGAGGGGAUGAUGUCAGGUCAGUAUUUCCCUUACAUCCUGGGCUACAAACACGCUACAAUGGCCGAUACAAAGGGCAGCCAAGUCGCAAGACGGAGCAAAUCCCAUCAAAAUCGGUCUCAGUUCGGAUAGCAGGCUGAAACUCGCCUGCUUGAAGUCGGAAUCGCUAGUAAUGGUAGGUCAGCACACUACCGUGAAUACGUUCCCGGGUCUUGUACACACCGCCCGU
rnacentral:rRNA from 1 species